GACGAGCUCGCGGCGGAUUAGCUUGUUGGUGGGGUAACGGCCCACCAAGGCGACGAUCCGUAGCUGGUCUGAGAGGACGAUCAGCCACACUGGGACUGAGACACGGCCCAGACUCCUACGGGAGGCAGCAGUAGGGAAUCUUGCGCAAUGGGCGAAAGCCUGACGCAGCGACGCCGCGUGAGGGAAGAAGGCCUUCGGGUUGUAAACCUCUUUCAGGAGGGACGAAGCCACUCGGGUUAAUAGCCCAGAGGGUGACGGUACCUCCAGAAGAAGCCCCGGCUAACUACGUGCCAGCAGCCGCGGUAAUACGUAGGGGGCAAGCGUUGUCCGGAUUUAUUGAGCGUAAAGAGCGUGUAGGCGGCCACACAGGUCAGCUGUGAAAACUCGAGGCUCAACCUCGAGACGUCGGUUGAAACCGUAUGGCUAGAGUCCGGAAGAGGAGAGUGGAAUUCCCGGUGUAGCGGUGAAAUGCGCAGAUAUCGGGAAGAACACCCGUGGCGAAGGCGGCUCUCUGGGACGGUACUGACGCUGAGACGCGAAAGCGUGGGGAGCGAACAGGAUUAGAUACCCUGGUAGUCCACGCCGUAAACGAUGGGUACUAGGUGU
rnacentral:rRNA from 1 species